AUCCAAGAACUUUAAUCCACUAGCAGUUGUGCCAUGAAACAUGCUCACUUUUGUGUCUACGCCAACAGGGACGAUAUCAUCAGUCAGUUCUGUGAAAAGAGGACUUAGCCUUAGCAAGUAAGGUUCUCUACAAGUAGUUCCUUCAGGGCAAACAACCAAAUCCCCUUGAUUCAAUAACUUAUCCAUCAUUGCUCUGUCUUUGUCUCUGUUUCUCGUUAACCGGACUGUUCUAAUUGGUGAUAAAAACUCUGACAUUCGGCUUAGGCUGUAUGUUACUGCAGCCAAAGGUUUCAUGAGUCCGAAUGAGAGAAUUAGGGGGUCCAGUAAUGUUCUGUGGUUGCAUACAUAUAGUGAACCUUUUGUUUUUGACUGUGUUUUUGGCCUUUGGACAGGUUCGAAAACCUUGAGUUUAAUUCCUGAGAAAGUUAACAGAGGAGUGGAGAUAGAGUAUGGUAAAGAAAUGGCAAUAAUGAUUCGGAUGAUGGCAAUUAUUGUUCCAAGAGGGAGCCAAACAAACAUGACAAGCAUGGCAAGUGGAGUUGGCCUGAAAGCUAAUCGACCAUCGUGGAAAAUAAGAGGUUUCGGAUAUUGCUCCUUGCUAAGUGAAUUCCAUUUUAGCUUCUCUGCUUCAUUUACCAUGAAAACCUCCUUGCAAUGAGAGAAACAAGUAUGAGCAAAGGAUGUGUUGAGGCUAUCGAGGCCGAUUACAUUUUCAGAUGCAUUCUCAUCUUCGAAUAGACCAUCCAAAAUGCUGUGACUCCCAUCUUCCAUUAGGCCAACGUAAUAUCCACAAACAACUUUUAACUCCCUUCCGUUGACAGAAUUGAUCUCCAAGUAAUCACUUAAGAAGCUCUCAACCAUGACUUGAGGCAAAUUAGUGACUGCAACUUUCCUUUUGGCUUUUUGCAACACCGCAAACACUUCAGCACCAACAUCCUCUAGAAAAUACUUAGGCAGAACAGAACUUCCUACUCGGAAACUCUUUUUCUUGAUUCCGAAAAAUGAAAUCAUGACCAUUAUGUUUAUGGAAUGUUCAUAACUAAGUAGGCUAAUGAUAGGGUAUAAAAUUAAUAGAAUGAGGGCCCUUAUGAGGCUACCGGCUUCAAAUGCAACUAACAUGAAGUAUGGAAAAAGAGAUGAAGAUUUCAGCAAAGAGCCCUCUACAUUAAACACUACAGUUGUGCUUUCAGAAGGCUCAACUCUUUCUGAAAGAGAUAAUUGGCUCUUUACUUUAUGUUGGGAAUUGAAUGAAUUUGCAUUACUUAGGCUUCUCUGCAGACCCUUUUGGUUUCUGUAGUAUUUUCUAAGGAGACGAGAGAUAAGGAGGACGAAUCCUGAAAAUGAAGGGGAUUUCGAGAAUACCAUGUUUGGUUUAAAGAUUUAUAAAAAUUGUGUUUGAUAUCUGAUGCUAAGAAGUGAUGCUAUGAGGUGUGUUUAUAUAGUGCUAGUAUACAGAAGAGUCCUCACUGUCACUUAGAAUGACAACUUCAAAAGUGUGGAUUGACUUGGCUACUCAAAAGCGAUUGUUCAAAGAAAAGCGUAGUGAGAACAAGGUGGCUCGAAACUGCAAGGAUCGUGCUGGAACGGGUCAAGCCAUAAAAUGCAGGUAUAAGAUGGGACUUAUCUUCUAUCAUCCUUAAAUGCAAAAUAACAACUUGCAUGCAGUGUGUUUUCUUUCCUAAUGGUACUUGCAUGCAGUGUUUAUAUGUUUACAGAAUUGGCAAUUUUCAUACAGCUGCCUAAGAGCUUCUACCUCAAGGUGGUGGGGCAAAACUUUGCAUUCAGGUUGCAGGGAAUCGAAUCCGAGUCUCUUAUGAGUCUGAGAUGUGGUAUCAUAUUAAGUGAAUAGUUGUCCCAAAACCUCAAUUGUUAAGGAGAACUUACCAGAAUCUUAUUAACCGACAGUUUCAAUUUUUAUCGAAUGUAGCUUCGGUUUUGCAUCAGCUGGAAUCAGCUAUGAUCAACUAACGUGAUUCAGUUUUAUCCAACACGGUUUUGGUUUUGUCUUUGUCAAGUGAAUCUGAGUUUAGAAAGAAGGUGAAGAACAAUACAGUUGGCUCAAUUCUUGUCCAAUUGACUGUUAUAAAUUAGAUCGCCAGGAGUCAACGAGUCAUCGUAAGUUGCUAACCUUAAUACUCAGCAGAAAGCAUAAUUUUCUUAAGACUAGCACAUGAUCUGUACUAAUCAGUUUUAAUGUAUGUGGGCUUGUAUGAAUGAAUUUAGGUAUAAACAUCUGGAUUAGGUUCCCAUGGCUUUCCUUGUGCAAGGACAUUUCAUAAUUAAAAACACGCUAAAUACAAGUGAGAAUUGAAAAGGCGCGUAAUAAUGGCCAUCUCAUAAAUUUUAACGUAACUAGAAGAAGUGCUGUUGGCAUGUUCUUGGUGAGCAGAUAACCACCAAAUUAAAUCAAGCUGGUUUUUUGAAUUGCAACACUAUUUAGAGUUUAUUUAUUUGAGUUGAUGCACAAAACAUUAUAUAAAAAUUCUCUAGAGAACAAAUUAAGCAAAUAUGGCUGAGUUGGCUUAAAUUCAUAGAGAGCAGAUUUCUUGUUUCGAGUGGUAAAUUUUUCACGUAUUUUCUAUAAAUUUUAUUUAUAUUAUACCAUUAUCUAUAAAUUAUACCCCAUCGAAACUAAAGCUUUUAUUAUGACAAAUAAAAAAAAAAACUUAAGCUUUUAUGGUGGUUUGACGCCCGGUCAGUGCUCUAGUAUUGUUGCUGAUAUUCAAGCUGUGGGCUAGUAGCAAUGGCUUGAUGGCUCUUGCAAAUCAUUCAAAAAUGAGGGAUUUAAAGGUCUUGGCCUUACUAGAGGUGUAAAAGAAUUGAACACAGAAUGCAUGAGUAAUAUUUCAGGUGCAGCAGAUGACAUUCAAUUAACUACUGAUUGACAUGGUUCAUUAAUGUUAUUGAUCUUACAGGCUACAGCCAGCAAGAAGCUUUCAAAUCUCUCGGCUGACGUCUGGGUGGAAGCCGACUGUUGAAAUAUAGCAUGAGAUCUAUUGGGGCUCUUCCUCUAUCACCUUAAGGUUUUAGAUGGAAUAGUUCUCGACAUGAUAUCCGAGGCAUUUUGGCCGAGGUUUAAAUUCAAGUGAGGGGAGUGUUGGAAUUUAUCAUAAGAUUCAUUUGGCCUUCUUCUAACAGCUUAAGGUCGGCUCUCAACACCCCGACAGAUUUCAACAUGCAUGCAUUGAACAAAAGAUUAUUUCAAUAUCUAAGCUUAAUGUACUUCAAUCUAUUAUCUUAAUCAACUGGUUUUGAUAUAGCAAAAAUUAACUCGAAUAUAUGUAUUUGUAUAAACAUCUGCGGUGCAAGGAAUGUACAAGAAUAUAUAUAGCUUGCUAAGAUAUAGAACAAAAAAUGUUAAUUAUUGUUUGUUUCCGGCAGAAACUACUCCUUCAUUGCCAGCCAAGAUCAUGUACUUGUCCUUCCUUGUUAGCAUCGUGCAUUCGAAUCCUAAGGCCUUGCCAAGCUCACUUUGCACCUGAUUCGCCACAUCAAACCUUGAGCUUUUAUCAUCAUUGCUUGAAACACCGCAGAUUUUAUCAAGUACUUGCAGUGUGUAGCUUGGAGUUGGAUUCAUGAGGAAGAAAAUUGGAUCCAAGAACUUCAAUCCACUAGCUGUUGUACCAUGAAACAUACUAACACUUGUAUCUACGCCAACAGGGACGAUAUCAUCAGUCAAUUCUGUGAACAAAGGACUCAGCCUUAGCAAGUAAGGUUCUCUACAAGUAGUUCCCUCAGGGCAAACAACCAAAUCCCCUUGAUUCAAUAACUUAUCCAUCAUUUCCCUGUCCUUGUCUCUGUUUCUCGUUAAUCGCACAGUUCUGAUUGGUGAUAAA
rnacentral:lncRNA from 1 species